ensembl:lncRNA
CUCUGAGCAACUGGGAACAGAAAGAAUUGUGCAGACAAUGAAAUCGUGAAAAUGCACAUCUGACACAGAAGACCCAUCAUCCUGGAAGAAUUACUGUGCAUUCCUAAAAGCAGGAGCUUGGUUUGAAUUAGGAAAAAACAAACAAACAAAAAAAAAACCUGUUGAUAACAUGGGGAGAUUUAAAAACAUCAUAUUUAUUGUAAGAUCUCAGUCCUAAGCAGUAGUGAUUCAAGCAUCUUCAUGCUGUUGUGUGUAAUAUCUUGAACUGUGACCUGGGCUCCCUUUCUGAACUGAAGUGUUCUGCUACCAUGGCUACUGCUGAUGUAAGCUGCCAGCUUCCAGUGAAGUGUCCCUGUGUUCCUGAGAGAAAAAGAAAAAGGAAGAUUUGAUUCAGUAGCAGAG